CCUACGGGAGGCAGCAGUGAGGAAUAUUGGUCAAUGGGCGGGAGCCUGAACCAGCCAAGUAGCGUGCAGGAUGACGGCCCUAUGGGUUGUAAACUGCUUUUGUAUGGGGAUAAAUUGCUCCACGCGUGGAGUAUUGCAGGUACCAUACGAAUAAGGACCGGCUAAUUCCGUGCCAGCAGCCGCGGUAAUA
rnacentral:rRNA from 1 species